rnacentral:rRNA from 1 species
CACUCUAGAGAGACUGCCAGGGAUAACCUGGAGGAAGGUGGGGAUGACGUCAAAUCAUCAUGCCCCUUAUGCUUAGGGCUACACACGUGCUACAAUGGGUAGUACAGAGGGUUGCCAAGCCGUAAGGUGGAGCUAAUCCCUUAAAGCUACUCUCAGUUCGGAUUGUAGGCUGAAACUCGCCUACAUGAAGCUGGCGUUACUAGUAAUCGCAGAUCAGAAUGCUGCGGUGAAUGCGUUCCCGGGUCUUGUACACACCGCCCGUCACACCACGGGAGUUGGAGACGCCCGAAGCCGAUUAUCUAACCUUUUGGAAGAAGUCGUCGAAGGUGGAAUCAAUAACUGGGGUGAAGUCGUAACAAGGUAGCCGUAUCGGAAGGUGCGGCUGGAUCACCUCCUUUCUCAGGAGA